AAACAUUUCAAUCAUUGUCCCCCCUCCCCCUUCUCAUCUCCCUUUCAGUGUUUUCUUCCUGGAUUCUGAAGGAAGCCAUAUUUUGAAAUCUUGAAAUCCUUAGUACAAUGAAUUGUCCAUCCUCUGCUCAGGUCUAUUUUCAGGAUUUUGACCCUUCAUGGAGUUCUGAUGCCUUCUUAGAUUGAAAUAAAUGACAAGAUUUACAUGAGCUCUUCC